GUCGCGAUGGCAGAGCGGUCUAAUGCGGUAGACUAGAAAUCUACUCUCUUCGGAGGCGCAGGUUCGAAUCCUGCUCGCGACU
rnacentral:tRNA from 1 species